GCUUUUUCCUUCUAGUUAUUAUGCAAGUCAAAAGAAGACACUGGAAGUCAACCCUAAACAUCCUCUCAUUAAAGAAUGUUAAAGAGAGUCAAUGCUGAUGCUGAGGACCAGACAGCUGCAGAUUUGGCCGUGGUGCUCUUUGAGACCGCCACGUUGCGUUCCGGUUACCAGCUUGCAGAUACCAAGCCUACGGAGACAGGAUAGAGCGCAUGCUCCGGCUUAGCAUGAACGUAGACCUCGAUGAACGGGUAGAGGAAGAACCAGAGGAGGAACUUGAAGAACCAGCAGAGGAUGCAGAGGUUGAGGAUGAAGAGGAGGUCCAGGCAGAUGAUGCAGAGGAAGAGUCUGAAUCCACAAGCAAAGAUGAGUUGUAAAGCUGUGUGAGAGGGGGCGGGGCUUUGGACUGUGAUGCAGAGUGAAGAUGACAACAUGACUGGUUCUUCUCUCUAUAUGGGUGGGUUGGGGGAAUAGGGACUGGGUUUUUUAAGGCACUGCUUUUGUGUUGUUGUUGUUGUUGUUGUUUUCUUUUUUUACAUUCCUCCAUGAUUGUAAAUUUGUUAAUAUUUAACUGACCCAGUUAUGGAGUGCUGACUCCUGUCCAUUGAACCAUUAAAUGUUUCCGGAAAGGGA